rnacentral:rRNA from 1 species
CCUACGGGAGGCAGCAGUGAGGAAUAUUGGUCAAUGGGCGCGAGCCUGAACCAGCCAAGUAGCGUGAAGGAUGACUGCCCUACGGGUUGUAAACUUCUUUUAUAAAGGAAUAAAGUGAGGCACGUGUGCCUUUUUGUAUGUACUUUAUGAAUAAGGAUCGGCUUACUCCGUGCCAGCAGCCGCGGUAAUACGGAGGAUCCGAGCGUUAUCCGGAUUUAUUGGGGUUAAAGGGAGCGUAGAUGGGGUGUUAAGGCAGUUGUGAAAGUUUGCGGCUCAACCGUAAAAUUGCAAUUGAUACUGGCAGCCUUGAGUACAGUUGAGGUAGGCGGAAUUCGUGGUGUAGCGGGGAAAUGCUUAGAUAUCACGAAGAACUCCGAUUGCGAAGGCAGCUUACUAACCUGCCACUGACAUUGAUGCUCGAAAGUGUGGGUAUCGAACAGGAUUAGAUACCCCUGUAGUC